AACUUUAUAUUCAAAAAUGAUAUUAGAUUGCAAUUCUAAAGGAAUAAUUAAAUAAAUUAUUAAAGUUU
rnacentral:tRNA from 1 species